ensembl:processed_transcript
ACAGGACUCUUCAAUCCAGAUCCCCAGGGAGAAACAGUCUGGAAAAACCAAAGCCAGAAGUUCCGCUGAGUUCAGAGCCCCAGCGGGCUCUCCCGCCUGCCCCCUCCCCAUUUUUCCGUUGGAUUCUCAUGGAUGCCGGCGGGGCGACUACGCGUGCGCCACCCGGCUCGAGUAACUAGGCGGUCGACUUCUGCGGGCUGGACAGGCGCGUGCGCGGAGCUGCACCCGUUGCUUGGUUACGGCUUUUUGCUGCAGCCUGCCUGUUGCUGUUCGCGUGGAGCCUUUCCUGGUGCUAGUAGGAACUCUCACCACCACUACCCCUAUUCCCCUCCAGCCUUUGCUAGAGGAGAGAAGCCAGAGCCUGGAGGCCAAGUCCUUCAAUCUCCAUUACGACCCCUCCCAGCAGGGCGCGGCCUAAAGGGAUGUCAACAGGUCAGCCUUCCGUCUGUCGGAGCAGAGGCUCUCCGGAAAAGGAUACUGCUGACAUCAAAUCCACAUCCCCAAGAGGACUGCAUCAACUCUUUUGGAAACUGUCUUCCCAUCUUGAUGCCCUGCACUGUGCAGCUUCUGAAAAUGGUGUGUCCCUAUGGCAACCUCUCUGUAUUACUGUGCGUAUACUUGAUACUGCAAGAAUCUGCUGUGAGCACAGCCCUGAACCAGGAGGGGUGGCCCAGAAGCAGACUCCACCCACAUUCCAGCACACUCAAGGCACAUCCCCACCCAGGCCAGUUUGGGGAUCAGAGGCCACACAGCUUCUGUUUUUUUUUAGGUCUCAAUGCAGGCUACUCUGUCGAGUCCACAAUGCACAAUGGAGCCCUUUGGCAGUCAGGUGUUAGGAGCCCAGGCCCAGGCAGGGACAGUCCGUCUGUCCUCGGUUGAAUUUGGAUGGUGCUGUUUGCAUGGAUGCACAGAACAGUCCAGGCAGUGUUUCUCUAGGAGGCACCACCUUGCAUGGCUUACUGGCUCACGUUGUCAGGAAGGGGAGCAGUGCUCCCUAGGCCCAUAAACACUCCUAUAGAGCUUAGCCUGCGGACUCCCGACUGGUACUGGGUGGUGGACCCUGCACAUGCCCGGGACCCUGCAAGCCCACACUGGUGGUUACAGAAAAUGCACAAACCACACCAUCUGACUUCUUUCCUGUUUUAGCUACAAAACUAAUCCACGAACCCAAGGUUCAAGGUCUUGGCGUGUUUCUAAACACAUCUGCAAAUCCCAGGUGACACUGGGGUGCAGGGCAGUGAGUGUGGGGGAGGGGCAAUUCUGGCCAUGGCAGUUUCCAGCUUCCCUUCUCCUGUCAUGUUCUUUUUUCUUUUUUUUCGAUUUUGGAAAGAAGCAAUCAAUAAAUAAACAGCAUUUACAAAUCAUGAAUCCUUGUUCAUAUUUUACAGACACACAGGGAACUUCACCCUGACCAGGAAAAUCAAGGCUCUGAGAACUAGUUUAUUUUCUUGGAACAGAUAUGUUUUUCCCUAGUGCCAUAGAAAACAAUACAUAUAAAUAAAAAGGCAGUGUUUCUGUGGAAAAUAAAAGUACAUAAAUAAAUACU